AUUGAACGCUGGCGGCAGGCCUAACACAUGCAAGUCGAGCGAGCGGCGGACGGGUGAGUAAUGUAUGGGGACUGCCCGAUAGAGGGGGAUAACUACUGGAAACGGUAGCUAAUACCGCAUACUCUCGGAUAACCCAUAUGGGAUUGGCUAGUAGGUGGGGUAAUGGCUCACCUAGGCGACGAUCCCUAGCUGGUCUGAGAGGAUGAUCAGCCACAUUGGGACUGAGAUACGGCCCAGAGUCCUACGGAGGCAGCAGUGGGGGAUAUUGCACAAUGGGCGAAAGCCUGAUGCAGCGACGCCGCGUGGGGGAUGAAGGCUUUCGGGUUGUAAAACUCUUUCGCUAUCGAGGGUAGGUGGAGAAGAAGCGCCGGCUAACUACGUGCCAGCAGCCGCGGUAAUUC
rnacentral:rRNA from 1 species